ensembl:snRNA U6 U6 spliceosomal RNA
GUGCUCAUUUCUGCAGCACAUAUACUAAAGUUGAAAUGAUACAGAGAGAUGAUAAUCAUGGCCCCUGUGCAAGGAUGACACAUAAUUUUGUGAAGCAUUCCAUAUUAAA